rfam:Macaca mulatta chromosome 17, whole genome shotgun sequence.
UGGCGCCCGAACAGGGACCUGGAAACGAGGGACUCCGUGAGGAAGAGGACGCCAAAGGACGGUCGACCGCUAACGAAGACAAAAGGAGUCAAACUCUUCCGAUCACCGCGGGAACCUGCCACGUCAGAAUCGAAGGUAAGUGACGCGUCCGAAAUGGGACAAGAAUUAAGCCAACAUCAAAUAUAUGUAGGACAAUUAAAAGAGGCUUUAAAGAUA